rnacentral:lncRNA from 1 species
GGAGACACAGAUUAAACCAAGCAUCAUCAGAAAACAUCCCAUGAUUUCAAACUUGCCCAUGAAAUAUCUCCAGAACAUGAACACACAGACAAAGUAGAUAAGCUGAUAGAAGCAGCAGAACCAAUAUCUUGAUUGAACAUAGAGAAAGCAAAAUGAAAAGGGGACAAAUCGUUCCACAGAAGUGGAAGAACUAGUAGACGAUUCUAUUAAGGCACGGUGAAUGUUAGUUACAAGCCAACACUGCAAAUACCACCAUAACAUACACAUCUUCAAACACACACAAAGAGCCAAGUGAGAACACAUUACUAUAUAUUUCACUUCCAAUACUACUACACCAAGAAAUCAUCAGGCCAUAACUUGAGCAGAAGCAGCGCGAUCAACCAAUUCCUGAGACUAGUGGAAGAAGCCGUAGCAAGAGAUAAUCCCUAAUCAGAUGGAUCACGAGCUUCUGGAGUAGACGAAGAAGCAGCCGUCAAAUGUCUCCAGAGGUAGCGUCCACUGGCCAUGUCAACGCCGGUCCAGAACCCGGACUCCACAGCUGACCGGAGCUGCAUGAUUAGU